rnacentral:rRNA from 1 species
AAUGUAUAGGUAACGUGCCCCGGAGAGUGGGAUAACAGUUGGAAACGACUGCUAAUACUGCAUAUUGCUUUAUGUCACAAGACGUAAAGUGAAAUGAAUUUCGCUCCGGGAUCGGCCUGUAUUGUACCAGCUAGUUGGUAAGGUAACGGCUUACCAAGGCUAUGACACAUAGCUGGUCUGAGAGGAUGAUCAGCCACACUGGAACUGAGACACGGUCCAG